rnacentral:rRNA from 1 species
UUGAUCAUGGCUCAGAUUGAACGCUGGCGGCAGGCCUAACACAUGCAAGUCGAGCGGUAACAGGGGAAGCUUGCUUCUCGCUGACGAGCGGCGGACGGGUGAGUAAUGUAUGGGGAUCUGCCCGAUAGAGGGGGAUAACCACUGGAAACGGUGGCUAAUACCGCAUAAUCUCUUAGGAGCAAAGCAGGGGAACUUCGGUCCUUGCGCUAUCGGAUGAACCCAUAUGGGAUUAGCUAGUAGGUGGGGUAAUGGCUCACCUAGGCGACGAUCCCUAGCUGGUCUGAGAGGAUGAUCAGCCACACUGGGACUGAGACACGGCCCAGACUCCUACGGGAGGCAGCAGUGGGGAAUAUUGCACAAUGGGCGCAAGCC